GAUGAACGCUGGCGGCGUGCCUAAUACAUGCAAGUCGAGCGAACGGACGAGAAGCUUGCUUCUCUGAUGUUAGCGGCGGACGGGUGAGUAACACGUGGAUAACCUACCUAUAAGACUGGGAUAACUUCGGGAAACCGGAGCUAAUACCGGAUAAUAUUUUGAACCGCAUGGUUCAAAAGUGAAAGACGGUCUUGCUGUCACUUAUAGAUGGAUCCGCGCUGCAUUAGCUAGUUGGUAAGGUAACGGCUUACCAAGGCAACGAUGCAUAGCCGACCUGAGAGGGUGAUCGGCCACACUGGAACUGAGACACGGUCCAGACUCCUACGGGAGGCAGCAGUAGGGAAUCUUCCGCAAUGGGCGAAAGCCUGACGGAGCAACGCCGCGUGAGUGAUGAAGGUCUUCGGAUCGUAAAACUCUGUUAUUAGGGAAGAACAUAUGUGUAAGUAACUGUGCACAUCUUGACGGUACCUAAUCAGAAAGCCACGGCUAACUACGUGCCAGCAGCCGCGGUAAUACGUAGGUGGCAAGCGUUAUCCGGAAUUAUUGGGCGUAAAGCGCGCGUAGGCGGUUUUUUAAGUCUGAUGUGAAAGCCCACGGCUCAACCGUGGAGGGUCAUUGGAAACUGGAAAACUUGAGUGCAGAAGAGGAAAGUGGAAUUCCAUGUGUAGCGGUGAAAUGCGCAGAGAUAUGGAGGAACACCAGUGGCGAAGGCGACUUUCUGGUCUGUAACUGACGCUGAUGUGCGAAAGCGUGGGGAUCAAACAGGAUUAGAUACCCUGGUAGUCCACGCCGUAAACGAUGAGUGCUAAGUGUUAGGGGGUUUCCGCCCCUUAGUGCUGCAGCUAACGCAUUAAGCACUCCGCCUGGGGAGUACGACCGCAAGGUUGAAGCUCAAAGGAAUUGACGGGGACCCGCACAAGCGGUGGAGCAUGUGGUUUAAUUCGAAGCAACGCGAAGAACCUUACCAAAUCUUGACAUCCUUUGACAACUCUAGAGAUAGAGCCUUCCCCUUCGGGGGGCAAAGUGACAGGUGGUGCAUGGUUGUCGUCAGCUCGUGUCGUGAGAUGUUGGGUUAAGUCCCGCAACGAGCGCAACCCUUAAGCUUAGUUGCCAUCAUUAAGUUGGGCACUCUAAGUUGACUGCCGGUGACAAACCGGAGGAAGGUGGGGAUGACGCCAAAUCAUCAUGCCCCUUAUGAUUUGGGCUACACACGUGCUACAAUGGACAAUACAAAGGGCAGCGAAACCGCGAGGUCAAGCAAAUCCCAUAAAGUUGUUCUCAGUUCGGAUUGUAGUCUGCAACUCGACUACAUGAAGCUGGAAUCGCUAGUAAUCGUAGAUCAGCAUGCUACGGUGAAUACGUUCCCGGGUCU
rnacentral:rRNA from 1 species